rfam:Pelodiscus sinensis unplaced genomic scaffold scaffold607, whole genome shotgun sequence.
CCACAGGCCUUUCUUAAUGCCAUCUACUUGUUCAUUAAAUAUUAG